rnacentral:rRNA from 1 species
UGCGCAGGCGGGCUUGUAAGUCAGUGGUGAAAUACUGCCGCUUAACGGUAGAACUGCCAUUGAUACUGCGAGUCUUGAAUAUGGUUGAGGUAGGCGGAAUGUGUUGUGUAGCGGUGAAAUGCAUAGAUAUGACACAGAACGCCGAUUGCGAAGGCAGCUUACUAAGCCAUUACUGACGCUGAGGCACGAAAGCGUGGGGAGCGAACAGGAUUAGAUACCCUGGUAGUCC